rnacentral:rRNA from 1 species
CCUACGGGUGGCAGCAGUGAGGAAUAUUGGUCAAUGGACGAGAGUCUGAACCAGCCAAGUAGCGUGAAGGAUGACUGCCCUAUGGUUUGUAAACUUCUUUUAUAUGGGAAUAAAAUGUUCCACGUGUGGGAUUUUGUAUGUACCAUAUGAAUAAGGAUCGGCUAACUCCGUGCCAGCAGCCGCGGUAAUACGGAGGAUCCGAGCGUUAUCCGGAUUUAUUGGGUUUAAAGGGAGCGUAGGUGGAGUGUUAAGUCAGUUGUGAAAGUUUGCGGCUCAACCGUAAAAUUGCAGUUGAAACUGGCAGUCUUGAGUACAGUAGAGGUGAGCGGAAUUCGUGGUGUAGCGGUGAAAUGCUUAGAUAUCACGAAGAACUCCGAUUGCGAAGGCAGUUCACUGGACUGCAACUGACACUGAGGCUCGAAAGUGUGGGUAUCAAACAGGAUUAGAUACCCCAGUAGUC